CCUACGGGUGUCAGCAGUGGGGGAUAUUACACAAUGGUGGAAACCCUGCUGCAGCGAUGCCGCGUGAAUGAAGACGGCCUUCGGGUUGUAAAGUUCUUUCUCAGGGGACGAAAAUGACGGUACCCUGCACGACAGCUCCGGCUAACUACGUGCCAGCAGCCGCGGUAAUACGUAGGGAGCAAGCGUUGUCCGGAAUUACUGGGUGUAAAGGGUGCGUCGGCGGGAGGAUAAGUUGAAGGUGAAAGCUAUGGGCUCAACCCAUAGCUGCGUUCAAAACUGUUCUUCUUGAGUGAAGUAGAGGCAGGCGGAAUUCCUAGUGUAGCGGUGAAAUGCGUAGAUAUUAGGAGGAACACCAGUGGCGAAGGCGGCCUGCUGGGCUUUUACUGACGCUGAGGCUCGAAAGCGUGGGUAGCAAACAGGAUUAGAUACCCGUGUAGUC
rnacentral:rRNA from 1 species